GGGCCGGUAGCUCAGCGGUAGAGCAACUGACUUUUAAUCAGUUGGCCAUAGGUUCGAUCCCUAUCCGGCUCACCA
rnacentral:tRNA from 1 species